ACAUGUGAAACAAUGAUGAGAGUUUACCAGACCAUCUGUUGCGAGGUGAAAGCCAUAAAGCCGUACGAACAGGUGAAGAUUGACAGAUGUAGAGACAGGAGCGCAACAAUGGAUUUUUAGGAUGAGAAUCUGAACUCUUUGACACUGACAAGAAUGACAUUACACCUGUUACCUGUGUAUUUAUGAGAUCUGAAAGUCGUAAUCAAAAGUGAAGUGAAAGACACCUGGCGAUCGACAGAGAGGUGUGACCAAACACACGACCUCUCUCCUCUAAGUUUAUGGAAAUGAUCUGCCUCACAUCAAGCCCAAAUAAAGUCUCUCUUCAUUCCCGGCAGCAUUGAAAGGAGCCACUCGUCCCCCACAUGAGGGACACACUAGUUUCUUUCCUUCUUUAUCAUAAACAGCAGCUGGCACUCACCUCCGUUUCCCUGGGUGGGGAAUCCCUCUCGGAAAAGAAAUCCCUUCUCUUGUAUCCUGCGUUCUUUCUCUCUCUCUCUCUCUCUCUCUCUCUGUGUAUCUGUGUCAGUUUGUCUUGUAUUGCUCCUCAAACUCUUUUUCAGUGCUAUGGGUGGACGUUAAUGUGGAGUUCAUCCUGAUACAGCCUAGGUCCUGAAUGUGUCUAUCAAAUAUCACAGAAGAGCCAAAGCCAGUGAAUCCAGGAGCUCCAAAUGGAGAGAGAAGGAGAGAGAGAAAGUCUACAAUGCCAGACUGUACAAGCAGGAUCAACUUACAUUGUCUGAGCUAUUAAAUCAGACGGACCGUUCUGGACCGAAACCCUGAUGCUCACCAAAGACCUCUACUUUUCUUCAAUGGAUCUGAGG